rnacentral:lncRNA from 1 species
AUAAAUUAAAAAUCUAUGAAAGAACCAAAUCCAAACCACACGCAAGUUGGGUCCAUUUAAUAGAAAUAAAUUGUUCUAAAUUUUUCCUCCUGGUUUUCUCUACCGUUCGUUUCCACUAGCCACCAAAUUCUUUAUUUUUCUCGUUUUUGCUGGAAGUCUACCUUUUAAAAAUAAAUAAAUGCAUUAAUGUUUUCACGUGUGCAUUCAUUCAAUAAACAUAUGAAAAUAAAUCAAAACCCAAGUCGCAAAAACACCCUAUUGUAGACAAAACUGAUUUCCUACUAUAAUGGAUUUUAGAUUUGAUUUUGGUUGUGGCAAGAUCUAAAAAUGACCACGUGUUGUUCGUAGAUAUAAUUGUUCCAUGGAUGCGUAUCUUCUUAUUGCUGUGAAACAUUGUUGGUUUAAACGUGCAAAUUGUAAUCGGAACAGCCGUCAGCGCUGGCGGAUCGAGGAAACAGCAGAAUUGCUAUUUUUGCGGCGAUGACGACAAUCCUUUUGAUGUUGUUUCAUAGCUAGGGGUGGAGGAAUGUGUCGUUGUCCUAGCGGUGACUUCCAACAGCUACAGAAACGGGGAUGGAGAUGGGAGCUCCAAUUGCAAUUAGUCAAGUUUUGAGUCCCCAGUUGCAAUUAUCAUUUAAGGGCCUGUUUGCAAUUAGAGAUUGGGGUCAUAUUUUAAUUUUUAAUAUAAGGACCUGCCAUGCAAUUUUGAAUAUUAAGGAACCUAGUUUUAAUUUUAAAUUUAGGGUUAAAAUGUGAUUUUUAAAAAGGACUUUUAUUUUGAACUUUUAAAAGUUUUUUGACCCUAAAAUUUCAAUUGGUCCAAUUAAAAUUUUAUUUAAACUUGACCCGAUUAAAAUCAUAUAUUGAAUAAAUAAUAAAAUUAAUUGACGACUUUUGUAUUAUUUCAUUAAAAUAUUAUGUAUUGCCAUUAUUUUUGCAUUAAAUUUCAUUUUGAAAUUUUGUUGCCAAUUUCGUCUCUCAAUAUUAAUCACAUAUGGAUUUCUUGUCUUUCAUUAAUUAAUGAUCAUGAUUUGUUGCAUAAUUUUUGUUCUGUGAUUAAAUUUUUCAUGGGUUUUGAGACGAUUCUUGUUUUUCCCACUAUAAGAGAAAUAUUUUGAAAUAAAAAUGGAUGGUAGCUGUCAAAAUGGCACACUCAUCAUUAUUUAUUCAAUUUUCUCUACAAUAAAAAUAUACAUAUAUUUCUGCGCAACAUUUUUGAUUUAUUGCAUGUAAUAUCUUGUCCAAAGGUGUUAUUAUAUGUAAUAUUUUUGAAAAAUGGCAUAAGACAGUUAACGAGUUUAUUUUGGUUUAGAAAUUUCCUUCUGCCCAAAGGUGUUGGUGUUUCGAAA